GACGAACGCUGGCGGCGUGCUUAACACAUGCAAGUCGAACGGUAAGGCCCUUCGGGGUACACGAGUGGCGAACGGGUGAGUAACACGUGGGUGAUCUGCCCUGCACUUCGGGAUAAGCCUGGGAAACUGGGUCUAAUACCGGAUAGGACCACUGCCUGCAUGGGUGGUGGUGGAAAGCUUUUGCGGUGUGGGAUGGGCCCGCGGCCUAUCAGCUUGUUGGGGGGGUGAUGGCGUACCAAGGCGACGACGGGUGGCCGGCCUGGGAGGGGGACCGGCCACACUGGGACUGCGAUACGGCCCAGACUCCUACGGGAGGCAGCAGUGGGGAAUAUUGCACAAUGGGCGCAAGCCUGAUGCAGCGACGCCGCGUGAGGGAUGACGGCCUUCGGGUUGUAAACCUCUUUCAGCACCGACGAAGCGCAAGUGACGGUAGGUGCAGAAGAAGGACCGGCCAACUACGUGCCAGCCGCCGCGGUAA
rnacentral:rRNA from 1 species